AGAACAGAUCAGACAGUGAUGGAUGAAGUCUAGGGGCGCAAAGCGGAUUAGAUAUCUGUGUAGUUGUAGCAGUAAACACUGCACAUUAAACAUCAGUAUCUCCUCGAGAGACAUUGAUGCUGUAGGGAAGCCGAAGAGUGUGGUACCUGGGAAGUAUAGGCGCAAGGCAGAAAGUUAAAGGAAUUGGCGGGGGAGUACCACAACGGGUGACGCGUGCGGUUCAAUCAGAUUCCACACCGUGAACCUCACCAGGAGCGACAGCAGAAUGAAGGUCAGUAUAAAGGAGUUUCGUGACACGCUGAGAGGAUUUGCAUGGCAGAUGUCAACAUGUGCCGUGAGGUGACAUGUUAAAUCAGGUAACAGGCGAGACACUCAGACAUAGUUAGUAUGAACUCACUAUGCAGACUGCGGGCGUAAGCAAGAGGAGGGUGCGGCAUACUUUAGGUAGUAUGGCCCGAAUACCUUGGGCGACACGCGCGCGGCAAUGUCUAUAUUCAAUGAGAUGCAAAUGAGAAAGGAGAAGCUAAUCCCAUAAAGUAUAGCCUAGUUCAGAUUGAUCGCUGCAACCCGCGCUCAUGACGACGGAAUCCGUAGUAAUAGUAUGUUAGCAGCGACCGGUGAAUAAGUCCGUUCUCCUUGCACACCAUGGUCGUCAAUCUAAGCCGACAUAUGUUUUGUAGAGGUUCGUUCGAGAUCAUACACCUUGCUAUGACAAGGUAGAUUAAGUCGUAACAAUGUAACC
rnacentral:rRNA from 1 species